rnacentral:rRNA from 1 species
UACGAAGGGUGCAAGCGUUACUCGGAAUUACUGGGCGUAAAGGGUGCGUAGGUGGUUGUUUAAGUCUGUUGUGAAAGCCCCGGGCUCAACCUGGGAAUGGCAAUGGAUACUGGACAGCUAGAGUGCGGUAGAGGGUAGUGGAAUUCCCGGUGUAGCAGUGAAAUGCGUAGAGAUCGGGAGGAACACCAGAGGCGAAGGCGGCCUACUGGGCUGCACCUGACGCUGAGCCGCG